GAUGAAGAACGUAGCGAAAUGCGAUACUUGGUGUGAAUUGCAGAAUCCCGUGAACCAUCGAGUCUUUGAACGCAAGUUGCGCCCGAAGCCAUUAGGCCGAGGGCACGCCUGCCUGGGUGUCACACACCGUUACCCUCGCGCCAACGUCCAUCGUUGGCCGCGGCGCGGGGCGUGCGCUGACCUCCCGCGAGCGGGGUCUCGUGGUUGGUUGAAAAUCGAGUUCGCGGUCGAGGGUGCCGUGAUGAAAUGGUGGAUGGGCGACGCCCGAGGCCAAUCACGCGCGACUCUGUCCUGCUCGGACUCCUGGACCCCUUCGGCGUCUCCGGACGCUCUUUGGCGAGACCUCAGGUCAGGCGGGGCUACCCGCUGAGUUUAAGCAUAUCAAUAAGCGGAGGA
rnacentral:misc_RNA from 1 species